rnacentral:rRNA from 1 species
AUUGAACGCUGGCGGCAGGCCUAACACAUGCAAGUCGAACGGUAACAGGAAACAGCUUGCUGUUUCGCUGACGAGUGGCGGACGGGUGAGUAAUGUCUGGGAAACUGCCUGAUGGAGGGGGAUAACUACUGGAAACGGUAGCUAAUACCGCAUAACGUCGCAAGACCAAAGAGGGGGACCUUCGGGCCUCUUGCCAUCGGAUGUGCCCAGAUGGGAUUAGCUAGUAGGUGGGGUAACGGCUCACCUAGGCGACGAUCCCUAGCUGGUCUGAGAGGAUGACCAGCCACACUGGAACUGAGACACGGUCCAGACUCCUACGGGAGGCAGCGGUGGGGAAUAUUGCACAAUGGGCGCAAGCCUGAUGCAGCCAUGCCGCGUGUAUGAAGAAGGCCUUCGGGUUGUAAAGUACUUUCAGCGGGGAGGAAGGGAGUAAAGUUAAUACCUUUGCUCAUUGACGUUACCCGCAGAAGAAGCACCGGCUAACUCCGUG